CAGGACCCCGCACUAGCUGGGAGAUAGCUCCCGUAGCUAACGCCUGCAAACCCCGGGGCUCACGGCCCUGUGACACACAGUUUUUUGAAGUGCGGAAUAUUUAGAUCAACUUGCCAAAAAAACAUUAGCGGCAUUUUCCUGGCCAGCUCUGUGGACAAUAAGAGAUCCUGGCUGUCUACUGAAAGGCAUCUAUAAACUGGAUGGGGCCCAUCGUCCACCUGUGUAGCUGCUCCAUAGGCUCGGGGAGUACCCCGUCGACCUGCGCCGGAGACGCUGUCAUGCAUCUUGUAUGGCUGAGCACCAUUCUCAAUGCUUGUUUGGUUUUAAAUUUUAAUCUAGCCCAGCGUGUCAACAAAACCUCACCCAUCGUGACACGGAGGGUAAUCAUUAUGUGGCUCAUCUCCUGUCGGCAUGGCGAGCACUCCCCUGAUCUCGCGGAGAGUCCCCCCUGGCGUGGAACGUGCAUCAUCGGCACCCGCCGGGGCUCGGCCGCACCCUGGCGCGAAGGCCGGUGCGCUGCGUAUGAGGCAUGGCCACUUUAGGAGUGAGGGAUCUCCGUUUCCACACGUGUGUCUGAUGGUCACGGGGUCGUGGAAUUUCAACCCCGGACAAAAUGUAAUGUGGAAAUUAAGAUAUGAAACAUUCAUAAGGGUAGGAAAACCCUGCUGAAAGGUGAAAUGGAAUUCUGCCAACAUAUAAAACUAUAAAUCUUAUAUUACAAUAUAGAACUCGGAAUUGACUUAGUGCUCACUAAAAAGAUAAAUGCUUAAAAAAUAAAUGCUUCAUAAGUAUUGCUUAGGCAGGAUUCAUAUUACACUGCUCCAAAAAAAACUUAAAUCACACAUAGGAUCUUGAACAAAAAAUUCAUGUUGGAAAUCUUUACUGAUUGCGCUCUUCGGUGAGAACAAAAUGAUGUAACAACGUUCAGUAGAAACCAAAACCAUCAACCCAUCGAGGGCUGGAUUCAAAAUCACACCGGAAAUCAACGUAAACAUUUGAAAUCACAGGAUGAUCCUAUUUACGUGAAUUUCAUCACAGCAACCCAUAAAGUGGCUCAGUAUUGUGCACGACCUCAGCAGAGACGCAUCAGUCAGGAAGGACAAAGAGGGAUUAACAGUCUGUGGUCACCGCCUGUAAAACAAUCCUCUUCUCCAGCGCACCUGUUGUCAUUUUCAUUUGCACCGAAGCAGGAGAAAUUGAUUUAUAAUGGCUUAAGAUUCCUAACUGGACAGCUUGAUAUCCCUGAAGUUUAACGGUCUUAUUGUUAUACUGUUUCCUUUUUGAGCAGAGUGCAAACAUCUCUCCGUUUCUGUAGGAGUCCAAUAAAAUGUCUAUAGUCCACCAUUUGAAAUUCCAUUUGAAUUCUAAACAUGUAAGCUUUUUGUAGUCAGUUUUAUAUAAAGUGAUGUAUCAAUUUCUGGCAUUUGAAGGUGCGCGCAGGGGCACGCAGGGCUGCUCCACCUGUCUGCCAGGCCUGGUGGGACAGUGGAGGAAGCAGUCAC